AGGGCAGAGGCUGAGCCGUGUGUGGCCCCCAGGGGAGGUGCUCAUGACCAGAAGGGAGCGGUGGCUGCUCUGUGGCACUGUGGCCCUGGACCCCAAGGACUUCAAGUGGAACUGCUGCAGAGACUUCUAUCCCUUCCACCACCCCACGCAGCGGUGCUGCUAGACCUGGGACAAGUUCAUCGUCAUCCCCAUGGACCCCCAGAAGUCCGAGGCUGAGGACUGCAGGACGUACACCCAGGAAACCCCAGGUCCCAGAUCGCCAAGCGUGUGAUGGGAAGUCCCCUGGGUGUCCCGCAAGAAUGUUUGACUCCACAAGUAGUAACAGGAAAACCAGUACGCAGACCCGUGCGCGUUCUUGCGUGAAGAUACCCGGACGCUGCAACGUGUAAACAAAGGGUGCAUAUCACGAAUGGGUUUUGAUAAGCAGAUUCUACUGUUAUUUGCCCGUUUCUCCGGAUCCUGUGUCACCAAU